rnacentral:rRNA from 1 species
GACACAAUUCUCCCUUGGAUCCAGACUUUGAAUCAUGGCUCAGGAUGAACGCUGGCGGCGUGCCUAAUACAUGCAAGUCGAACGCACAGCGAAAGGUGCUUGCACCUUUCAAGUGAGUGGGCGAACCGGGUGAGUAACAACGUGGACAACCUGCCUUCAAGGCUGGGGAUAACAUUUGGAAACAGGAUGCUAAUACCGAAUAAAACUUAGUGUCGCAUGACACAAAGUUAAAAGGCGCUUCGGCGUCACCUAGAAGAUGGAUCCGCGGUGCAUUAGUUAGUUGGUGGGGUAAAGGCCUACCAAGACAAUGAUGCAUAGCCGAGUUGAGAGACUGAUCGGCCCACAUUGGGACUGAGACACGGCCCAAACUCCUACGGGAGGCUGCAGUAGGGAAUCUUCCACAAUGGGCGAAAGCCUGAUGGAGCAACGCCGCGUGUGUGAUGAAGGCUUUCGGGUCGUAAAGCACUGUUGUAUGGGAAGAACAGCUAGAAUAGGAAAUGAUUUUAGUUUGACGGUACCAUACCAGAAAGGGACGGCUAAAUACGUGCCAGCAGCCGCGGUAAUACGUAUGUCCCGAGCGUUAUCCGGAUUUAUUGGGCGUAAAGCGAGCGCAGACGGUUUAUUAAGUCUGAUGUGAAAGCCCGGAGCUCAACUCCGGAAUGGCAUUGGAAACUGGUUUAACUUGAGUGCAGUAGAGGUAAGUGGAACUCCAUGUGUAGCGGUGGAACGCGUAGAUAUAUGGAAGAACACCAGUGGCGAAGGCGGCUUACUGGACUGCAACUGACGUUGAGGCUCGAAAGUGUGGGUAGCAAACAGGAUUAGAAUACCCUGGUAGUCCCACAACCGUAAACGAUGAACACUAGGUGUUAGGAGGUUUCCGCCUCUUAGUGCCGAAGCUAACGCAUUAAGUGUUCCGCCUGGGGAGUACGACCGCAAGGUUGCAACUCAAAGGAAUCGACGGAAGGAC